rnacentral:rRNA from 1 species
CCUACGGGUGGCAGCAGUGAGGAAUAUUGGUCAAUGGGCUAAGGCCUGAACCAGCCAAGUCGCGUGAGGGAAGACGGUCCUAUGGAUUGUAAACUGCUUUUAUACGGGAAUAACGCGCCUUACGUGUAGGGCUUUGCAUGUACCGUAUGAAUAAGGACCGGCUAAUUCCGUGCCAGCAGCCGCGGUAAUACGGAAGGUCCGGGCGUUAUCCGGAUUUAUUGGGUUUAAAGGGAGCGUAGGCCGCAUGUCAAGCGUGCUGUGAAAGGUUCGGGCUCAACCCGGGCCUUGCAGUGCGUACUGGCGUGCUUGAGUCCGCGGAAGGCAGGCGGAAUUCGUGGUGUAGCGGUGAAAUGCUUAGAUAUGACGAAGAACCCCGAUUGCGAAGGCAGCUUGCUGCAGCGGAACUGACGCUGAUGCUCGAAAGCGCGGGUAUCGAACAGGAUUAGAUACCCCAGUAGUC